rnacentral:tRNA from 1 species
ACUCAUUUAGCUUAAUUGGAUAAAGCCACGAUCUUCUAAAUCGUAGAUUAAAGGUUCAAUCCCUUUAAUGAGUA